AGGCAAAAGAAUCAAAGAGAGCAAUCCAAAGGUCACGCCCUCUUCUCCCCACCCCUAUUCCGGCAUUCCCCCAAAUGUUCCCCGGCUCUGCCAGAUCGCCGGCGACCUCCUCCCCAGUCGCCUCGGAUCAGCCAGCAGCUCCCGCCUGCUCCUCCUAGGGAAGCCCAGGGAUCAGCACCGUACCGCGGAAUCUGUUGCAGCGACGGUGGGGCCAAGCGGGGGCAGAGGGGAUGACUAGCCUGUCGAUCAAUGUGAUGACGCUGAAUCUGCACGAAGGCGAGCAGUCGAGCGAGAGCCCAAACAGCUGGGAAAAGCGCCGGGACAUCUGCGUCAGCGUCAUCACCAGCUACUCACCCACCAUCCUCUGCACCCAGCAAGGCUUGAGAUGGCAACUGGACUACCUACAACAGUGCUUACCAGGUUAUGAACAGUUUGGAAUCUCAAGAAAAGGCUCACAGGACACCACUGAUGAAUACUGCACAAUAUUCUAUGAAAAAGAAAAGGUGGAGCUUUCUGAAGGUGGCACAUUUUGGUUGUCAGAAUCACCAUCAGUGCCAGGAAGCAUUUCAUGGGGAGCAACUGCACCUUGCAUUGCGACAUGGGCAACGUUUCAACUCAAAAGAUUAGAACCACCAGGAUUCAGUUUCCAGAUCGUAAAUACCAAUCUUGACGAAGUAAGCCCUCGUGCUCGACGAAGAAGCGCUCUGCUUACAUGGCAACAUAUAGCAUCCUUGCCACCCAAUUUGCCUGUUAUCUAUUGUGGAGGCUUCAACACGCAGAAGGAAUCUAUGACUGGGCGGUUUUUGCUUGGCAGAUCCAGAGAACAUGGUGUUGUUGGUGAUAUGAGAGAUGCUUGGCCUAAUGCACGGGUGCGAAAAAAUGUUUCACUAAUACAUACAUAUCAUGGAUUUAAAGGGUUCCUACUCUGAAAGCUGUGGCUGCUUAUCUCUCAGAUGGAUGUUAAAAAUGCCUUUCUUCUUGGUGAUUUACAUGAGGCAGUUUAUAUGCAGCCACCACCAGGUGUUAAUGCACCUCCAAGGUAUGUUCGUCAUCUUUGUCGUGCCUUAUAUGGUCUUAAACAGGCUCCACAUGCUUGGUUUGAAUGCUUUGUAUCAGUGAUACGAGAUGCUGGUUUCUCACAAAGCGAUCAUAAUCCUGCCUUAUUUGUUCAUCUCUCUCCAUGUGGGCGUAUUUUGCUGCUUCUCUGUGUUGAUGAUAUGCUAAUUACUAGAGAUGAUAUUGAUCACAUUAAUCAUGUGAAGCAACAACUUGGCGAGCAAUUUCAGAUGUUUGAUUUGGGUACUCAGUUAUUUCUUAGAGAUUGAGGUCCUACGUUCUUCCAAGGGCUAUUAUCUCUCUCAAUCUAAGUAUAUACGGGACCUUAUUGCAUGUUCUGGCAUUACUGAUAGUCGGACGGCUGCCACACCCAUGGACCUUCACUUGCAACUUUGUCCUACAAAUGGUACUCCUCUAGAGGAUCCCUCUCGAUAUCGGCAUAUUGUGAGCAGUCUUAUUUAUCUCACUAUCACCAGACCUAACAUUGCUCAUGCGAUACAUAUCUUAAGUCAGUUUGUGAGUGUUCCAACUUCAAUUCACUUUGGAGUUGGACAUUUGCUUGGUGUGCUAAGAUACUUGAGGGGGACAUCAUCUUGGUGUUUAUUCUAUGCUCACAAUAGCUCGCUUUGUCUCCAUGCCUAUUCCGACACCACUUGGGUGAGUGAUCCAACUGAUCCCCGUUCUGUCCCUGGUUAUUGUAUCUUUCUUGGAUCUUCUCUAGCAUGGAAGUCCAGGAAGCAGUCAACUGUCACUCGAUCUAGUACUGAGGCAGAACUUUGGGCACUUGCUACUAUUGUGUUGCAUGCACCGAUCAGUUCAACCCAAAAGCUUAAGCUGAUGGGGAAGGGUGGGCAAUUCACUUAUAUUCCAACACCCCCCUCACGUGUAGUCUCGCUCAGGCCUCAGAUGUGGAAUAGGAGCGAGCAACAAUUAUUUUAUUUAAUUGUGCUAACCAUGAUUCGAACUCGAGACCUUUGGCUUUGAUACCAUAUUAAGUUGCAUGCACCGACCAAUCUAACCCAAAAGCUUAAGUUGAUGGGGAGAGGUGGGCAAUUCACUUAUAUUCCAACAGCUACUCCCACUUAUGAGAUUGUGUGGCUCCAAUGGCUAUUUGCUGAUUUUGACACUUCUUGUGAUGCUUCCACACCUCUUCUUUGUGACAAUACUGGAGCCAUACAGAUUGCCAAAGACCCCGUGAAGCAUGAACUUAUAAAGCAUAUUGGUGUUGAUGCUUCCUUCACUCGGUCUAACUGUCAUCAGAACACGAUUGCUCUUCAGUAUGUGCCAUCAAAACUGCAACUGGCAGACUUCUUUACUAAAGCACAAACUCGAGAACAACAGCGGUUACAUAUGCUCAAACUCAAUGCUUCAGAUCCUCCACCUCGGUCUUGAGUUUGAAGGGGGGCGUUAAGAAGCAUAUCUAUAUUAGGCCCAUGGCCCUUAUUCUUCUCUAGGCCCAUAUAUGGCUACUGCUGUACAUAUACACAUCAUGGACUUUUGCCUCACUAUCUCUGGUCAUCUUCUCCAAAGGGGAGAAACAAGGUGCGGUAGAAUUUCUCAAAUUAAUAUUUAGAGCACUUUGCCUGUGCUGGGAUCGACAGACACAGGACUUGCAUAUUGACUGGAUACUAUUUAGAGGGCGCCCACUCGUUCCUGCACUUUGUGAGGUCAUAAAUGACAAUAUAGACGGUGUUUAUCCAUCCUCACACUUUCCCAUCUUUGCUGAGUUCUUGCUUCCACGCUCGGUCCGGUUAGCUGAGACACAGUCAUAGUCCUCGUGUGUUGUCCUCAUGAGAUUUUUUUUUGUUUUUAUUUCCCAUACAUAUUUCGAGUAUGUCCCACUGUUUCUUCCGUGGCGGUACUUUGAUCUGGAAACGACAUCACAUCCCGCUUGAGCACACCUCCAGGUUUCUUUUGUCAUCCCAUUACAAUGAACAACACAAUCAGCAUAUGCACCCGUUGUCAUGAGGCUUGUUUCAAGGGCAAUGGGCUAUUCUGUUACCUCUGCUUGCUAUUCUAUUUUGUUCACAUAUUCAUUAAGCUGUUUCUGAGAUUUUCAUGUGUAUAUAUAACUGUAUCUAUACAAGUUCUUUAUGACAAUUGUGAGAUCUUGAAGUAAAUUAGCUGAUGUGAUGAAAAAUCAAGAUUUUUCAUUUUGCA